rnacentral:rRNA from 1 species
AUACGGAGGAUGCGAGCGUUAUCCGGAUUUAUUGGGUUUAAAGGGUGCGUAGACGGGACUGUAAGUCAGGGGUGAAAUACUGCAGCUUAACUGUAGCAUUGCCUUUGAAACUGCCGUUCUUGAGUACAGUUGAGGUAGGCGGAAUGUGGUGUGUAGCGGUGAAAUGCAUAGAUAUACCACAGAACGCCGAUUGCGAAGGCAGCUUACUAAGCUGUUACUGACGCUGAGGCACGAAAGCGUGGGGAUCAAACAGGAUUAGAUACCCUGGUAGUCCACGCUGUAAACGAUGAUUACUGGUUGUUAGCGAUAUAUAGCUAGUGACUGAGCGAAAGCAUUAAGUAAUCCACCUGGGGAGUACGUCGGCAACGAUGAAACUUAAAUGAAUUGGCGGGG